UCAAAACCAAAUAAAAACAUGGCACCACACCUUAAUAUUGUUCCUUCCAUGUUUGUGCUUUUCUUAUUAUUCAUUUCAGCCUCUAAAGUUCAAUCAGACGUUAUUGAUGUUGUUGCCAAGUUUGGCACAAAAGCUGACGGGAAAACGGAUUUGAGCAAAGCAAGUUAAAUUGCUCUUAACUUUGUACCCAAAGGUGAAAAUAUGAAAAAAAAAUUAUAUUUCAAACUGAUGUCUUUAUUCAUUUCAUUUUAGUCAUUUUUGGAUGCUUGGAAAGAAGCAUGUGCCUCUGUAACCCCAUCAACUGUUGUGAUUCCUAAAGGGACAUAUUUAUUAUCAAAAGUAAACUUAAAAGUUCCAUGCAAGGCUCCUAUUGAGAUUAAGUUCAGGGCACUGUACAGGCUCCAGCUGAUCCUAAUGCUUUCAAGGACCCUAAUUGGGUUAGAUUCUAUAGUAUUGAAAAUUUCAAAAUGUCUGGCGGAGGAAUUUUUGAUGGUCAGGGAAGCAUUGCUUAUGAGAAGAAUAAAGAUCCCGACAAUCGUGAAUUUCGUUCCAAACUUCUUGCUGUCAGCUUUGUUUCUUCUUGCCAAAAUUUAUUUAUUCUCUUUCCUCUUAUUAUUAUCAAAAUAUAAUUAUAACUAACAUCUUUGUUUCGUGUGUUACUUUGUUAACUCCAAAAUUAAACAGAAUAUAAGGUUUGACUUUGUGACCAAUACAUUGAUACAUGAUAUAACUAGCAAAGACAGUAAACUAUUCCAUGGUAAUGUUUACCCUCGAACGUUUCAAGGUAGAGGCACCAGUAGAUAGACCAAACACAUAUGCGAUUCACAUGGGCAAAUCAGACGGGGUAAAUAUUAUUGGCUAUGACAUUAAAAUUGGUGAUGAUUGUAUUUCUAUCGGAGAUGGCACUAAAACUCUAGACAUAAAAGAAAUAACUUGUGGACCAGGACAUGGUAUAAGAUCGUAGUCUUGGAAAGUUCCCAAAUGAAGAGCCAGUUGAGGGAGUUAAAGUCUCAAACUGCACCAACACUAAUACUUCGAAUGGAGCUCGAAUCAAAACUUGGGCAGGUGAAUCUCCUGGGAUAGUGUCAGAUAUACAUUUUGAGGAUAUUAUACUGAAUAAUGUCUCUUCCCCUAUCUCUGAAGAGAGGGUACUGAAGCCCAUACAUAUUCCUACUAGAGAAUUAUGUGUAUUCUCUCUUAAAAUGUUAUUAUAUUUUUUCUUCUUCUUGUUCGACCAAGACUGUUAAGAUUUUUCUAUAAAUAGAGACCAUAGGCUAGGUCAACCACACACGAUGAGAAGCAUCGACAUUGUAAAACAUUAGUGAGAUUUCGGUCAAAAAAAAUUCUAAAUAUGAAUGUUUACAUUUUUAGUUUUUGUCCCAUAAAGGGUUAACAAUAUUCGCCACUCCAACAUCAAUAGAAAGUUUUCAUAGCUUUCAUCCGUUCAUGGAUUAGAGCCUACGCUUUAACUAGCCGAGGUUUUUGAAUAGUUGAUAAGAUCGUGUUCGUAGAAUAUUGAGAAACAACUUAGACCACCUAAUCCAGAGCACAAGUAAGAUUUUGGUAAAAGGGUUUGUCCCUAUAAAUAUGACAACUUCUUGGGUUUAGAAAUUUUUAAUUUUUUUGUUGUUCAAAAAAAUCAUUUUCUAAACGAAUGUUUCCAACACAAUCAAGAAUGAUCUCUAAUUUCUAAAUUGAAUAGGUCAGUAAUAAUUACUUGGUCUUUAUAGUCCACAGCCAAAACUAGCGCUUUUCUAAUCUCCCAAGCUUCUUCGACAAACUUGCACAACGUCUUUCUUCUCGAACGUUCGACUCUAUUAGGGAUAAUGACAUGACACCAUUUUAUGUUUAAUUAUUACAUAUAAAAAAUUGAACACCAAAAAGGAGAAUGAGAGAAAAUUUUGUGGAACUCUAUAAAGAUUUUUAGAAAGGAACGAUAUUUACAUCGAGAUUAAGUGUAGUGUUUGGGUAUCUUGCGAUUAUCACUUAAAGAUCCCUAAAUUUGUUGAUGUGAUCUGUAGUUUUUGCUUUUAGGUUCUCAAAGGUUAGUCUCUUUUUCUUAUUUUUGUGUGUUUGGCUUGAAACUUUUUUUUUCAUGGUUUCUUUUCUGAUUCGGGGUUCAUGUUGGAAAUGCAUUUAGAAAAGUAGCUAGGGUAGGAACAUUACAGUUUUAAUUUCUAUAGUAAAAUGGGCAUUUAUCGUGACAUCUAAAGUAAUAAAUUUGAUCAAAUUAAAAUGUUAUGGUCCAAGGCUUAGGGGAUGUCCAAGUCGCAAGGAAAGUUUGGGAGAUGCCUUCAUUGUCUUGAUCAAUUCAAAUAGCAGUCCAAUAUCUUCAACCUUUCUACUGAACGAUUUUCUUCCCUAUUCUUGAACACUCAGGUGCUUGGAAAGUGGGAUGUAACUGAAAAAGUAAAGCACAAGAUGUGACUCGAGACUUCUCAAGCAGCUAUGCAUCUAGCUCUUUGCGUCCUAUCCAAAACUGAAAAGAAGACGUAAACCGAGACUAAUUAAGGAGGUAUGUCAGCUACCUCUUUGUGUUCUACCCAAUCGAAAACAACUCCUAUAAUUCAAUUAUUCUCUUUAGAAGAAUGUCAUUAUAAUCUUGAAAAUCUAAAUUACAAAGUCUAAAACGAUAGAAUUGAUUUGAGUUGAAAGAAAAUAGAAUCUAACUAAUAUUUCAAUAAAUUUCAACAAAUUGUCCUUGGUUUUUUUUUUACAUAAAUUGGGUAUUGAUAAAGAAACAUAUGCAAGAGUUUUAUUUGUAUCCGAUGUACAUAAAAUAAAUAAUAUAGAAGAACUAAAGUCCAACUAGGACAUUUUUAACCCCAUGGCCAGCGACUCCAAGAGAUAAUUCUCUUUGUGUGUGGAGGCACACUUACCAUAGUGGUUUGUUCUCCAGUUUAAUUAUACGAGCUUACCUCUCUUGAAUUAAAUAAGAAAUCAAGACCAUAUGAUUAUCUAAGCCAAUAGCAUAUAUUCUUCCAUGAAUUAAGUUUUUUGAAAUUAAUUGUUUCAUUAAAUUAAAUUAUUUCCACUACUUAAUUUAAUCCUCACUUUGGACUUAUUUAUUUAAUUUAUUCAUUGAAUUAAAUAACAAACCGACGGAAUUAAAUUAAUUCCGUGUCAUCUUUUCCAUUCUCAUGAAAUCGCAUUUACAUGGAAUAGUAAUUCAUUCCAUCUAAUUCUAAUAUAUCAUUUUCAUCCAUACAUUCAAUCAGUUCUUAUUAUGCAAUCUACUUAGAGUUAUAUUAAGCUAGCAGAGGGAUCGAUUGUACAUAAAUAAUUAGGGCUUAAAUAAAAUCUUAAUUAGAAUUUAUUUAGUUGUAGACUCAAUCUACUAAAAGUACCAUGAUCGAUCUCCCCAAUAUAUAAUGUUACGAAAGCUAAGCUUGUAAAGCUUUGUCCAUUUACCUUGUCAAAUGCAUGUUACUAUCAUAGAAUGCCGAUCAUCUAUUUAGGUUCAAUAUUUUCCCACUAAUUCGAUCCAUUUUAUCUCAGGGUCAGUUUGUAUCUUCUAGAAUGAGGGGUGAGGAUGAGGGUAAAGGUGAACGUGAGGAUUCAUAAAAGGAUGAUAAUGAAAGGGAUGGUGUUUGUGAUGAAAAGUCAUACCUUGUGAAAUUUGAUACGUGUUAGAUGGGGACGAAGAUAAGAAAUUACAAGAUGCUUGAGAGAAGUUGAAGAAAUUAAAAGAUAAAAGUAAAUCUAUUUGGAAAGAGAAGCCAAAUGCCCAUCAUGUUUUCACUAAUAAUUGUUACGUGGGUGAAGUUUAGGCUGAAGUCCAGGGCGAAUGUUAGCUCGACUAGGUAUUAUAGGGCCAGGAAAAUAGUGAUUGAGAAGAGUGCUAGAAACCACCAGAAUUGCUUUCGGCAAUAUGGUGUGAACCUUCGUCAACCACCAAACCACAUUACUGUAUCAACAAUUUUUAUUGAAUAAUUAGGAUUAUACUUUUCGAAAUAACAUUGAUAAAUUUAACGGAACAUAAUUAUAUUCGCCACCAUCUAGUAAAGAUAUUAUUUUGAAGAUAAAAUGUAAAAUAAUGCUUUUCAAUCUUUCCAUAAUAAAAUCCUUUCACAUAGUUUAAAUUAUUAAAGUUGUGAAAAAAGUUAACCACAAAACUAUCUAACCGUGCAAAGUUGAUAUUAAAGAAACAAGCUAAUCAUAGAUAUUGAAGCUUGGCCAUAUGACUUUUCCACAUUGAUUAAAUAGUAAUAUAUUUGAUUGGUUGUAAUUUUCUCAAAAUUUCUAUAUAUUUGGAAAAAAAACAAAAGGAAAAGCCAUUCUUCGUGUAAUUUCAAAACCAAAUAAAAACAUGGCACCACACCUUAAUAUUGUUCCUUCCAUGUUUGUGCUUUUAUUAUUAUUCAUUUCAGCCUCUAAAGUUCAAUCAGGCGCUAUUGAUGUUGUUGCCAAGUUUGGCGCAAAAGCUGACGGGAAAACGAAUUUGAGUAAGGCAAGUUGAAUUGCUCUUAACUUUGUACCCAAAGGUGAAAAUAUGAAAAAAAUUAUAUUUCAAACUGAUGUCUUUAUUCAUUUCAUUUUCGCCAUUUUUGGAUGCUUGGAAAGAAGCAUGUGCCUCUGUAACCCCAUCAACAGUUGUGAUUCCUAAAGGGACAUAUCUAUUAUCAAAAGUAAACUUAAAAGGUCCAUGCAAGGCUCCUAUUGAGAUUAAUGUUCAGGGCACUAUAAAGUCUCCGGCUGAUCCUAGUGCUUUCAAGGACCCUAAUGUUGGAACAUUUUCAAAUAUUUAUAGUAUCCCAAUAACUAUAAAUGAAUGGGUGUAAUUAAUCAAAAGAUAAAUCUUUUGGUCAU
rnacentral:lncRNA from 1 species